UCUCCCCCAUGAGGACCUACCCAGCGUUUACUGAGAAGCUGCCAUACACUGUAUGCAAGGCCCCUGACGGGCACACACAGCUGUCCUCGCAGCAUUUAAUCCACGACAGUCCCUGUGAUGAACACCUGACGACAAGCCCAUGGUGUGGGCUUCCUACCAUCAUCCGUGUCCUGCAGCAGUGUACUCACAGUGGAGACGAGAUCAAAGAGUCGGCUGCUCAGCCCGUACUCCAUCCACCGAGCCACGUACUCAAGGGGCCAAUCUGUCCAACAGCACCGUGUGCCCAGACACAUGGGGAUCCAGGUCAGGAGAGGCACGCACCAGCUACUAUUGCAGGGCCCCAGCUGUGUGCUAAGGAAAGACGGCAACGACAGCAGGAGCAACAGAAAAAGUAGGUGACCGCCCUCGCCUUUGAAAAACCGCAAGGCUGACCAAAGGUUUGACAAAAAAAAAAAAAAAAGAAGUUUUUUUUUUUUUUUCACUCUUGAAGCACAUCACAACCUGUUGCUGUGGUUUCUUUGACAGGGAAACUAUCAGGAGUCAAACGUGAGCUGAGUUAGGAGCUUCCCACGGCUUGGUAGUGAUGCUUGCGGCCCCUAGGAAGAAAGAGGGUCACCCAGGUUUCAAGAGAGCAUCUGAGAGGUCCAGUGUCUUGCUGCAGGCACAUCAGAGACAGGGCAUAGCCGACCUAACCUGGAUCUCCUUGGCAUUAGCCAAGGGUGGGUGUAGCUUUCCCUCGUGGGAUAGAGCUAGUGUUGGCUGUACGGUGACUCUGUACCCACGCCUCAACUAUGAAUCCUCCUUACACCCCGCGGGAAAGUGGGUGACCACCUCUGCUUUGCAAAUAUGCGGUGCAUGGGGGUCAGGAGAGUCAUCCGAGGUCUCCCAGUUGGUAGGAGGGAAGUCUGGGCAUUGAGUCCUGCCUAGCUGCGUCCAGCGUUCUUAACCCACCCCAGUGUUCUCAGUUCCCAGGCACAGCAAUUCACAAAAGGAGGGGCUGCUUCUGCAUCGGUGUGCCUACCUUAAUGCCCCCUGGGAGGCGGUCUGGGGCUGCAAACCAUGCUGAGUGGAUGAACAAGAGAAGGGGCAUAGCAAAGCAUGGUGUACAACUCCACAGCUGGCACAUGCCUCCCCCACCCCACCUCUCAGUGCCAACUCCUCUGCCCCCUCCCCCACAUGACAGAGAAGUGACCAGGGCAUGGCUAGAGCUAGCACACUAUCACAUGAGAGCCACCCCACGUGAGAUCAGCAAGGGGCAUGAGGAACGAUCUGUGGGCCCAAAGAAGACGUGUCAUGAACAUCCCAACCCCCGCUGUGUGGAGAAGCGCCGUACAAUUCAUCUCAAAGGUCAUAUCUCUCGUGUAUUAAUUUGCUAAUUCGAAGCCCUGAUUAAAAGGACUGUUUCCGCUCUCAAGGCAGAGCCGUGGAGAAUGGACUCAGGUACUUAAAAGGCGCACAUUGGUCUUUGUGCUGGGAAAAUGGACACUGGUCACCUCUGCCCCUCAGGAACCUGUGCCCUGCUGCUUUGGCCCAGAAUGACCUGAAUGGAGCAAAUUGCAUAUUCAGACUGCAUAUCCAUAUAGUGCCAAAUGGCUUCCAUUAGCCCAAUUUCAAGAUAUCUGGAUAAUGCCCCAGAACUGGAGUCUCUUUCAGGACCAGGAAAUUGUCGGAGAGAGCAGAGCUCCUGGGGAGGGGAAUCAGCUAUCUAAUUGCAAGAAGAAAGGAAAGUGGAGGGAGAUUUGGGCCCUAAUGUCCCGGGCUCUAACUCUGCAGCCCAGCUUUCUCAGGAGCUCAGUGGUACCGUGAUGUCAGCUUCAAGCGCCCCAUCUCCAGGAGACACAAGAGCACAUGUCGUCCCUGGACUUGCCCUCCCAGGACUGCCAUCUCCAACUAUCCGGCCCUGUUUGGAAAGGCAGAGGUGCCACAGCUGACCUGCUCCCCGCCCCCCAGGAACGGAAGCACACCCUGCUGGGAUCCUGUGUGAAACAGCUCUCCUUCCUCACCCAUCCCUUUGUGAGGAUGGGGAGGGACCACGGGUGCAAACUGGGACUGUGAAAUGGGACUCCAAAGGCUGCAGCCAGUAGUUGCUCAGUUAAUGCUAGGGCAUCUACCACCAACUAUGUGAUGUGUACUGCCAGCCCUUCUGGGCACAGGUUUUCAAGUGACAUAGGGCAGUAUGGGGAGACAUGGAGCAUCUGUGAACUCUGUGAACUAAUAUUGUGUUGGUGUGUGUGUCUGUCUGUCUGUCUGUCUGCCUGUCCAUUGGUUGUUCCAAACUUCUAGAGACUAAUAAACCUGCUAUAAGACCCUUG